GUGUAUUUCAGCAUUACAGUCUCUUACUAGAUGUGGACUUCACAAAGUGUAUUAAAUACAAACUAAAGAGAAGAAAAAAUCUGAGGAGAGAGGACAAGCUUGCACCAAAAUGUUUGGGCCCAGACUGGGCCAAAAUGAGACGUAGAUUUGAAAGAGCCCAUGGUGAAUAUUCGUAGGCCUGAACUCAAGAAACAAAAGGCUGGAUCUGAACUUUUGAAGACCAGCUGGUACAGCAUGACAUCAAUGAGUUUGGAGUGUCCAGCUCCUUCCUGCGUGCUGCGUUCUCUUUCCAGCUCCAUUAGCCUUCCAAUGCUGUUGAACAAGUCACAGCUUCAGUGGGAGAACUAAAUAUGAAGUCUGAAUCACAGCCUUCUGGUCUGGGCACU